UAAUUAUUAAUGAAUAAAGACAGGAGCCAAGUCCCCAUUAGCCAAAACAAAAACAACAGAAGUUCAACAGACCCCCUAGACGCAACCCAAUACUACCAUAGAAAAAAGAAAACUAGAAAGCAACCCAGAAAGAUAGCUGAUGGAAGCCAAAAUCCCCAAUGUCCAAGAGGUGACAAAUUUGAGAAUGACAACGGAGAAGUCAAGGGCGAUGUAGGAUGAAUAAAUAGCAAGGAUCUACUUCGGCAAAGUACAAACCGAGAAACCUAUAGAGGAGGGUCGACCCACUCAGUCUCUGCAGCAACUGCGUGUUCCAUCUAGAACGGUACCUCCUCUACCCAGAGUCGAUCCGAAGGCCAGCGAAACCCCCAAAGAAGCAAGCUGGUGAGCGAUAGAGUUUUGCUCUCUGUAACAGUGUCUGAUCUCAACCGUUGCGAAACUGAGUUUACGAACGACAUGCAGCGAAUCCCCCUCGAAAACAACCGGAAAAAGACCCAAAUCACGAGCAAAGUCUACGAUCGUAAUAAAAGCCAAUGUCUCUAUCGCAAAAGCUGAAGAACCAUGUUGAUGAAGGCCAGUGCAAGCCCCGAGCACCUGGCCUUAGCUAUCGCGUACAACCACACCCGAGCAAGAAGAGCCAACUGUAUGCAGCAUCAAAGUUGGCCUUCACCAGCGGCGCACCCGCAGGUUGCCAGCGCACAGUACGCGAGCCCACUGAGUCCGCAACAUGCGCAUCUAAAACAGACCGACCGCUCAGAUACGAGCGAAUGAAGGAGACCAAUUUCGGAGGCGUGUAGGAGAGGUCCUCAUGGUACUGACGGUUCCUCGCCAACCAAAAAGCCCAAAUUGUUAUCAUUGGCCAGGAAAUGAGCAAACAGUCCCAUGCCGAAGUGGCAAAGAGGCAAUCCUGGACAAUUUGGGUAGUAGUCUCUGGUACAGUUAUACACUUAGGAAAGAAUUGGGUAUUUGAGAUGUGCUUGUUGUAGAGAUUGUAUAGAGUAGGCACAUAGUUUUUGAGAAACCACCAUGCGGUAAUGUGAAUUUUAGGAGGGACACGGGCCUUCCACAACCUUGUAAAUAGAUCUCGGGGACUCAUAGGGUAGAUGGUAAUGGGGAGAGAGGUACAGGCAAUCGAAGAAAUUUAUACUCACUACGUACAAAAUAGCCACCCGUCGAAUCCCCUUUCCAAACUACCAUGUCAUCUCUGGCAAAACGAGAUAAAGGAAUACAGAUGAUGUGAGCAGCUUCAUCGUCGGAAAAUAACUCUCUUAUUAAGGUACUAGUCCUUGGAAGCCAACAAUCAUUCCAAAUAGAGAUGGAGUGUCUAGUGCCCACCCUCUAUCCAAGGCCCUUCUCCAACAAACCUUAAGAGCAUCAGAUGCUACGCCAGGUAUACGAUGGGCGAGACCUUUGGUCUGCCCACAAAAAAUCCACAUUAGGGAAGUAUCGAGCUUUAAAAACUCGACUCAUAAGGCAACCUGAAUUUGUUAAAAAGACAUCAGUCUUGCUUCGCCGAAAGCGCAAUAUUAAAUUUCGCCAGAUUACGAAA